CUAAGUUUAACACAAAACCCUCCCCACAGCAGUUGCGCCUCUCCCCAUCUCCCUCUCUCUGCUCUCAUUCGUACACACACACAACCACGUAGCAGUGCGGCUUCGCCCUCGACUCCGGCGAUCUCGCCGCCGGCCUGCUCUCUCGCCCCUCAACCCCUCCCUCACUUCUGCGAUUAAGCAGCGUGAAGUCGCCGCCUGAAACCCUAGGCUCAGACUUCCCUUCCUCAAAAAUCCUAGAUACCCUUUUAGCCGCCUCCCGUCGAUUCUCGGCGACUGCACGGCCGGAAGGCCGCCGCCGCCGCCGGAUCCAGUUCACCUCCGUUCUUACUCCCCGUCCUCGGUCGGACAGCAGCGGCGGAGCCGCCAUGUCCUGACCUCCCUAUGUCUCUCGGCUCUCUCUAUCUCCGCCGUCCGCAGCGACAAGGCCCCCGCCUCGCCGCCUCAGCCAGGACACCCUCACCGACGA
rnacentral:lncRNA from 1 species